UGAGUGCUGUGAUACAAGCUCAUCUUUGGGAAAGGAACUCAUGUGACUGUGGAACCAAAAAGUCAGCCUCCAACCAAACCAUCUGUUUUCGUAAUGAAAAAUGGGACGAAGGUUGCUUGUCUGGUGAAGGAUUUCUAUCCCAAGGAUAUAAGUAUAACCCUCAACUCAUCCAAGAGUAUAAUAGAAUAUGACCCUGCAAUAGUCGUCUCUCCCAGUGGGAAGUACAGUGCUGUCAAGCUUGGUCAGUAUGAAGACUCAGAUUCAGUGACGUGUUCAGUUCAACACAACAAUGAAAUCUUGAACUCCCCUGACAUGGAGCCAAAGAUAAGUCAUUCAGGACCAAGGGAACCUGAAAACAAAGAGGAAACUUCAAAGAACUGCCAUGAACCCAAAGUUCACACCAGGAAGGUGAACAUGAUGUCUCUCACACUGCUGGGACUAAGAAUGGUGCUUGCCAAGAGUGUUGCCAUCAAUUUUCUCUUGACUGCCAAGUUAUUUUUCUUUUAAGGCUGACUGGGAUGAGGAUGCUUCAUCCCCUGAAAUAAACCAAAAACCUACAAAGAUGCUAUUUCCUAGGCUUCUGACUUCUCAGUGAUGACUGUCAAGAUGACUGUCACAGCCUACCUUAAAUGGCUACCACUCAAACCAGUUUUCUUUUGAAAGCAACAAACCCAGCUCAUCCUUCAGACUGGUGGCAGGACAAAAGUCCUGGGUAGAGGGAAUUUAUGAUCAUAACUGUGUCAAUGCUGUUUUAUAAGGGGAUAUAAGACUCAUUUUUUACUCCUACACCUGGUACACUUUGAAAGCAGUGUUCUGUUCCUUUUGACUUUCUUUGACUCCAGAAGUACAAAGUGGAACGAACAGGUUCCCCAAUCCAUUCUCCAUGAGGAAAAUAAGCCCUGGGAGGAAGAGAGUACAUGUCCUUUUACCUAAACAUGAGAUGUUUUGCCCAACUCAGCAUCAUAUUUGUCCCAAACUGACAUUCUUAUCCCCGCAUCUUGUGCAUGUCCCACCCACCACACUAGAACUGGUGAUGGGGGGCGGAAUAGUACCAAAUUUUCAGCCUUUCUGGUUUUCCUAGUACUUUGCAAACAGAAUAACAUUUGACUUCCCUAGUAUUCUCUGGGAGCCCUGGUGGCACAGUAGUUAAAGAGCUCAGCUGCUAACCAAAAGGUCGGCACUUAGAAUCUGCCACCCGCUCCUUGGAAUCCCUAUGGGGCAGUUGCUAUGAGUCGGAAUCGACUUGACAGCAACGGGUUUUUAGGUUAAUUCUCUCUGAGCAUUCCACGGGUUUCUAAAACCUCAUCUAAAUACCCUCCAAGCUAUUAGCAGAGAUCAGAAUAGAAUACAGAAGAAAGAACUCCUUUCUAUUAAUUAACUUAACAAACAUGAAUUGACUCCCUCUAAGUUGCAGACACUGUGCUGAGGGUGCAAAGAUGAAUAAGACGUGGGUCUGCCUUUAAUUUAAGCAAUGAAAUGUGCAAGUGUUUUUGGAGGGAGGGAUAGAAAUGAAAUCUCCUAGGCUUCCCCUGUAAAAACAAUAUCUCUACUGUCUUUUGCCUGCCAGUCUGCCCAGGGAAUUUGAGAUCACUGGACACUGACUUUUUGCCUGGGUCUUUGGUGUUGAUAGUUUUCUGCUGUUCAUUUUAGACCCUGUCUCUACUGCAUUUAUUAAACUGCAUUGUGUGCACUU